rnacentral:rRNA from 1 species
GUCCCUACGGGGGGCAGCAGUGGGGGAUAUUGCACAAUGGGGGAAACCCUGAUGCAGCAACGCCGCGUGAGUGACGAAGGUCUUCGGAUUGUAAAACUCUGUUCUUGGUGAAGAUAAUGACGGUAGCCAAGGAGAAAGCUCCGGCUAACUACGUGCCAGCAGCCGCGGCAAUACGUAGGGAGCGAGCGUUGUCCGGAAUUACUGGGUGUAAAGGGGGCGUCGGCGGCCUGGCA